GAAAUGCGAUACGUAAUGUGAAUUGCAGAAUUCCGUGAAUCAUCGAAUCUUUGAACGCACAUUGCACCCGGUGGUAUUCCGCCGGGUAUGCCUGUCUGAGCGUCAUUUCUACCCUCAAGCCCUGCUUGGUGUUGGCGGAUUGCCCCCUGCGGCAACCGCUGAAAUUGAAUGGCGGUAGCACACUCGUCCCCUGUACAGUACUAUUCUUACAGCGGCCUUGUGGACCAACCAGCCCAACCCCAAGAAAUAGCAAAGUUGACCUCAGAUCAGGUAGGAAUACCCGCUGAACUUAA
rnacentral:misc_RNA from 1 species